CCACGGACCACAGACAGAGCUCAGAGAACUGCAACAACCUCACCAAAUUCACCAGAAGGAGCUGGACGUCGUGAUGACAAUGUGGAACACCGGGAUCCAGCCAGGCACUAAAAGAUACGAUCCCUUCCAUGGAAAACCUUUCCUCUGUAUCAUGUACCAGAACUUUACCGAGCACAGGACGACCUCCAGCCAGUGGACAGAGGGAACAUUGUCUUGGAAGAGGACAUCUGUCUUUGGAAAACUGACUUUGUCUGUGAUCCAUAUCUUCACCAGCUCUGCCUUGUGGUCAUAAAUAAACUGAAUCUUGAGGCAGGUCAUAAUGCUGCUGAGGCAACCAGACUGUACAGACAGCUGAAGACUUAAUGAGAACACAGCUGUCAGUCAGAUUAACCCCCACCUACCAAAACUGUUGCCACAACAGCCAAUAUUAAAAACUUUAGCCUACCGCUUUGAGCACACUUCCAUUUCCAGUGUUUCAUACACCCCUGUUUUCUGAU